rnacentral:rRNA from 1 species
UACGAAGGGUGCAAGCGUUAAUCGGAAUUACUGGGCGUAAAGCGUGCGUAGGCGGUGACUUAAGUCUGUUGUGAAAUCCCCGGGCUCAACCUGGGAAUGGCAAUGGAUACUGGGUCGCUAGAGUGUGAUAGAGGAUGGUGGAAUUCCCGGUGUAGCGGUGAAAUGCGUAGAGAUCGGGAGGAACAUCAGUGGCGAAGGCGGCCAUCUGGAUCAACACUGACGCUGAGGCACGAAAGCGUGGGGAGCAA